GAUGAACGCUGGCGGCGUGCCUAAUACAUGCAAGUCGAGCGAACAGACGAGGAGCUUGUUCCUUUGACGUUAGCGGCGGACGGGUGAGUAACACGUGGGUAACCUACCUAUAAGACUGGGAUAACUUCGGGAAACCGGAGCUAAUACCGGAUAAUAUUUCGAACCGCAUGGUUCGAUAGUGAAAGAUGGCUUUGCUAUCACUUAUAGAUGGACCUGCGCCGUAUUAGCUAGUUGGUAAGGUAACGGCUUACCAAGGCAACGAUACGUAGCCGACCUGAGAGGGUGAUCGGCCACACUGGAACUGAGACACGGUCCAGACUCCUACGGGAGGCAGCAGUAGGGAAUCUUCCGCAAUGGGCGAAAGCCUGACGGAGCAACGCCGCGUGAGUGAUGAAGGUCUUCGGAUCGUAAAACUCUGUUAUUAGGGAAGAACAAACGUGUAAGUAACUGUGCACGUCUUGACGGUACCUAAUCAGAAAGCCACGGCUAACUACGUG
rnacentral:rRNA from 1 species